rnacentral:rRNA from 1 species
UAAUACAGAGGGUGCGAGCGUUAAUCGGAGUUACUGGGCGUAAAGGGUGCGUAGGCGGUGAUAUGAGUGUGAUGUGAAAGCCCUGGGCUUAACCUAGGAAGCGCAUCGCAAACGAUAUGACUGGAGUAGAUGAGAGGGUGGCGGAAUUUCCGGUGUAGCGGUGAAAUGCGUAGAGAUCGGAAGGAACGUCAAUGGCGAAGGCAGCCACCUGGCAUCAUACUGACGCUGAUGCACGAAAGCGUGGGGAGCGAACAGGAUUAGAUACCCUGGUAGUCCACGCUGUAAACGAUGAGGACUAGAUGUUGGUAGGGGAACCUAUCAGUAUCGAAGCUAACGCGAUAAGUCUUCCGCCUGGGAAGUACGGCCGCAAGGUUG